AAUGGUAUCAUCUUUGCGACGAACAAUACUCCUGCCUGGACCCCGCCGCUCGACCGCGCCGACUACCACUUGUAUGCCGCCGCCAAAAUCCGCCGCCGCCGCGCCCAACCUCCUCGCCGAGUCGCCUAUGUCGGAGGAAUCCGACCCAUGGUGGACGGCAGCGGCCUGACCUCUGCCAGUCUUUCCCCCGCACGGUCGUACACACACGUCGAUGUCUCGGCCGAUACGCCGGCGGGAUCUGCUCGGUAGGCCGGCAACUGCACGUCUCCAAUAGACGUGGCUGGUUCACGUCCCUGUCGUGGGCGGACAUGCUGCGUUUUGCGUCAGAUCUGAGCGGCUCCGCGGCCUGUGGCCGACAGUGGGACUUGCGGCUGGGGACCUCUUCGGACGCGUCCUGGCCAUGGCCGCCACAGAUGAGAGGGAGGCGGGUCACACCGUCCAAGAGAGGGAAGAAUUGACGCCGCGGAAGAGGUACCCAUUAGAAGAGCAGCGCCUCCGCCAUCCCGACGAACUCCGGGACGGCUCGAUUCCAGGUCAUUGAGGUAAACAUUGAUACGCAACUGCCUCCGUCCCUAAUGUAUGCCUUUUUUUUGUAGCGUAUUCAAGUGAGUUACUUCCAUGUUGAGAUAAGCUUUUUCCAACAAGGUAAGAUGCUACAUAGUUGCUACUUUAUCUCAUGCCUUUUCUUCUCACGAUAGAUUAUGUGAUUACUGUCCUCAUGGGUAAAAUUUGCUUAGCGUCCAUUAUCUACUUUAUAGAGAAACCCUAGAGUGAUUGCCCUUCUUCGGUAAAAUUUCACUUCUGGUCCAUUACAUGAUUUUUGCAGAAAUCACAUGGUGCUUAUUAUUGUCAUACUUUCCUUUCUUCUGAGCAGAAUUUGUAGGCAAACAAAAAUGUCAUGUCUUAUCUUUUUACUUAGAGCGGUGCAUCCAGGAGGAAGUAUUUGUUACUCAAAAAAAUUAUUAUCUUCUUACUCAAAAACUUUGUAGGCAUUCUGUCCUCAACGGCAGGAAAUAAUGCGACUUCUGCAUGGCAUUCAUGUCUGAUUUUCUCAAUAGUAUUUGCAACUCUAGGAAAUAAUUUAUUAUGCUAUUUCAUACAUGUAGGCUGGCGAGAGAGAGGAAGGAGCAGAAGUACCAGAGCUCCGGGUGCGGCCGUGCCAUGGUGGGGUGCUAACCUGGGGAAUGGAGUCGGCCGUGAAGCAGCUCGGUGGGAGAAUACAGAGAGAAUUUCUUGCGAUGUGGUGUGACAUUAAUUUGCUUGAUGCUUUUGGAGAUGUCAGUGGUCAGGCUGUAGUAACUAUGUGUGUGUUGCAGACUAGAGUACUAAGAAAAGUGGUGCCCAGAUGUUUCCCUUGGUGACAAGGCAUAUGUCAUGUUUCAAAGUUCACUUUAUCAAAUACAGUGUUCCACAAAAAACCGGACAUCUGGUUUGAUCUUCUAUUUUUUAAACCUUUUUCUUCCAGCGAAUUUGAUGUAUGGGGCAUGUAGCAUACAGUGGUAGCGAUUUGAUGUAUCAUGCAUGUAGUAGAGCCGAGGUAGUGAUUUUGAUGUAUGGGGCAUGUAGCAAAGCAAUGCUAGGAUUUCAAGGAUUGGAGAAAGUGAGGUCUAAUUCAUUUCUUUUGCUCCUCUGGUUGUAAGCACAAGUUCUCCGAAUCUUCUUAAAUGAAGAAAGUUGUCUUCUUACUUUUGAGAGGUGAAUAAAGGAUUUUCUUGGGGUUAUGCUGUUAAUUCUAAAUGGAUGUAUGUUUUUGUUAAAUUUAUAUUAGUUGGGAUGUGCAUUGCUCGUGUAAGAUUACCAUGGUUGGAGGUGACAAGUUGCAUACAUGCUAUUGUAUGGAUUGUUUGAGGAAGCUUGAUUCAGGCACGAUACUUCCACUCUAAUUUUAUUUCCUUUGCCAACAGUUUAUUUUAACUUCUCAUCCAAAACUAAGUGUGACAUAGAUUUAAGUACCAGAUAGAUGGAUAUGGUGUAAAAAAAAUCUCUUAUUUUCCCUGUUUGCAUCAAAACACGAAAACAAAUGUUCUUAUUGGAUUGUUAAUGCAAGAUUUCAUAUGGGUGCAUUUUCUUAAGAAGUAAAGAGGGAUUUUCUAGCCAGCAUUGUAUAUUGCAACUGUAUUUUUCUUAUAUAUAGGAAAUUCAAAACUUAAAGAGUGCAAAAUGGGGGU